UGCGUAGGCGGCGGGGAAAGUCAGAUGUGAAAUCCGGAGGCUCAACCUCCGAAUUGCAUCCGAUACUCCCUCGCUAGAGAUUUGUAGAGGAGCUUGGAAUUCUCGGUGUAGCAGUGAAAUGCGUAGAUAUCGAGAAGAACGCUCGCAGCGAAGGCGAAGCUCUGGGCAAAUUCUGACGCUGAUGCACGAAGGCUAGGGGAGCAAAC
rnacentral:rRNA from 1 species